rnacentral:rRNA from 1 species
UCGAGCGGACAGAUGGGAGCUUGCUCCUCUGAUGUUAGCGGCGGACGGGUGAGUAACACGUGGGUAACCUGCCUGUAAGACUGGGAUAACUCCGGGAAACCGGGGCUAAUACCGGAUGGUUGUUUGAACCGACAUGGUUCAAACAUAAAAGGUGGCUUCGGCUACCACUUACAGAUGGACCCGCGGCGCAUUAGCUAGUUGGUGAGGUAAUGCCUCACCAAGGCUACGAUGCGUAGCCGACCUGAGAGGGUGAUCGGCC